GACGAACGCUGGCGGCGUGCUUAACACAUGCAAGUCGAACGGAAAGGCCCUGCGUGUUUGGGGUUCUCGAGUGGCGAACGGGUGAGUAACACGUGAGUAACCUGCUCUUGACUUUGGGAUAAUUUCAGGAAACGGGGGCUAAUACCGGAUAGGAUCUCCUGCUGCGUGGUGGGGGUUGGAUAUUUUCGGCUGGUGGGGAUGGACUCGCGGCUUAUCAGCUUGUUGGUGGGGUAGGGGCUUACCAAGGCUUUGACGGGUAGCCGGCAUGAGAGGGUGAACGGCCACCAUGGGACUGCGAGACGGCGCAGACUGCUAUGGGAGGCAGCAGUGGGGAAUAUUGCACAAUGGGAGGACGCCUGAUGAAGCAACGCCGCGUGCGGGAUGACGGCCUUCGGGUUGUAAACCGCUUUCGCCUGUGACGAAGCGUGAGUGACGGUAAUGGGUAAAGAAGCACCGGCUAACUACGUG
rnacentral:rRNA from 1 species